rnacentral:rRNA from 1 species
AGGACGAACGCUGGCGGCGUGCUUAACACAUGCAAGUCGAACGCGUGUAGCAAUACACGAGUGGCGCACGGGUGAGUAACGCGUGGAUAUCUGCCUUUUGGUUCGGAAUAACCCCGGGAAACUGGGGCUAAUACCGGAUGGUUCCUACGGGAUAAAGAUUUAUCGCCAAAAGAUGAGUCCGCGUACGAUUAGCUAGUUGGUGAGGUAAUGGCUCACCAAGGCGACGAUCGUUAGCUGGUCUGAGAGGACGAUCAGCCACACUGGGACUGAGACACGGCCCAGACUCCUACGGGAGGCAGCAGUGGGGAAUAUUGGACAAUGGGGGCAACCCUGAUCCAGCCAUGCCGCGUGAGUGAUGAAGGCCUUCGGGUUGUAAAGCUCUUUUGGCGGGACGAUGAUGACGGUACCGCAGAAUAAGCCCCGGCUAACUUCGCGCCAGCAGCCGC